GACGGAAGGUGCAAGCGUUGCUCGGAAUCACUGGGCGUAAAGGGUGCGUAGGCGGCUUGGUAGGUCUGGUGUGAAAGCCCCGGGCUCAGCCCGGGAAGGGCACUAGAAACUGCCAAGCUAGAGUGCCGGAGGGGAGAGUGGAAUUCCUGGUGUAGCGGUGAAAUGCGCAGAUAUCAGGAGGAACACCGGUGGCGAAGGCGGGUCUCUGGGCCGAUACUGACGCUGAGACGCGAAAGCGUGGGGAGCAAACAGG
rnacentral:rRNA from 1 species